rnacentral:rRNA from 1 species
GACGGAGGGUGCUAGCGUUGUUCGGAAUUACUGGGCGUAAAGGGCGCGUAGGCGGCCUGGUCAGUCGGAUGUGAAAGCCCGGGGCUCAACCCCGGAACGGCAUCCGAGACGGCCAGGCUGGAGACCGGGAGAGGAGAGUGGAAUAGCCAGUGUAGAGGUGAAAUGCGUAGAUAUCGUAAGGAAGACCAGUGGCGAAGGCGGGUCUCUGGACAGUUCCUGACGCUGAGGCACGAAGGUCAGGGGAGCAAACGGG